GGCGAAUAUAACUCAGUAGGUUAGAGUGAUAGGUUGUGAUUCUAUAAGUCGCAGGUUCAAAUCCUGUUAUUCGCC
rnacentral:tRNA from 1 species